rnacentral:rRNA from 1 species
UACGUAGGGGGCUAGCGUUGUCCGGAUUUAUUGGGCGUAAAGAGCGUGUAGGCGGCCAGAUAGGUCUGCUGUGAAAACUCGAGGCUCAACCUCGAGAUGUCGGCGGAAACCAUUUGGCUAGAGUCCGGAAGAGGAAAGUGGAAUUCCUGGUGUAGCGGUGAAAUGCGCAGAUAUCAGGAGGAACACCGGUGGCGAAGGCGGCUUGCUGGGCCAGUUCUGACGCUGAGGAGCGAAAGCGUGGGGAGCGAACAGG